GAGUUUGAUCCUGGCUCAGAUUGAACGCUGGCGGCAGGCCUAACACAUGCAAGUCGGGCGGUAGAGAGAAGCUUGCUUCUCUUGAGAGCGGCGGACGGGUGAGUAAUGCCUAGGAAUCUGCCUGGUAGUGGGGGAUAACGCUCGGAAACGGACGCUAAUACCGCAUACGUCCUACGGGAGAAAGCAGGGGACCUUCGGGCCUUGCGCUAUCAGAUGAGCCUAGGUCGGAUUAGCUAGUUGGUGAGGUAAUGGCUCACCAAGGCGACGAUCCGUAACUGGUCUGAGAGGAUGAUCAGUCACACUGGAACUGAGACACGGUCCAGACUCCUACGGGAGGCAGCAGUGGGGAAUAUUGGACAAUGGGCGAAAGCCUGAUCCAGCCAUGCCGCGUGUGUGAAGAAGGUCUUCGGAUUGUAAAGCACUUUAAGUUGGGAGGAAGGGCAGUAAAUUAAUACUUUGCUGUUUUGACGUUACCGACAGAAUAAGCACCGGCUAACUCUGUGCCAGCCGCCGA
rnacentral:rRNA from 1 species